rnacentral:rRNA from 1 species
AUUGAACGCUGGCGGCAGGCUUAACACAUGCAAGUCGAGCGAGCGGCGGACGGGUGAGUAAUGUCUGGGAAACUGCCUGAUGGAGGGGGAUAACUACUGGAAACGGUAGCUAAUACCGCAUACCAUCAGAUGUGCCCAGAUGGGAUUAGCUAGUAGGUGGGGUAAUGGCUCACCUAGGCGACGAUCCCUAGCUGGUCUGAGAGGAUGACCAGCCACCCGGGAACUGAGACACGGCCCAGACUCCUAGGGGAGGCAGCAGGGGGAAUUAUUGCACAAUGGGCGCAAGCCUGAGGCAGCAAUGCCGGGUGGUUGAAGAAGGCCUUCGGGUGGUAAAGCAUUUUCAGCGAGGAGGCGUUACUCGCAGAAGAAGCACCGGCAAACUCCGGGCCAGAGCCGCGGUAAUAC